CGCGGGAGCGGAGCGGAUGGGGGGGUGAUGUGGAGGGGGGGGGGGUCUGUUUAAUGCGGGCGGUGGAUUAAAAGGGCAUUAGGAGUGUCUGUCUGAAGCGGCGUGUCAAGCGUUAGUGCCGAGUGCCUCCUUUGUUACAAGUUGCCCUCGCGCAGAGUUCGGCUCGCAGCUGACGGCGCAGCGGAAUAUAAAAUCUCCUCGCAUCUGAAAAGGCAGUAAGGAGGAGUUGUCGGCGGCAGGUGCAUCGCUGCUCCCCGACAAUGGAUCCUUUAUUCUUUCAUAUUAGUCACUCGCAGCUUUUUCAAUGAACGUGUGACAUUUAAAAUCCAUUACUGAUGGCGGGACGUGAGGCUCUCACACACGGGAUUCUGUAGUUGGAGCAUGAGAUUACGCUGCAUUUGCUGCCUUUGCUCGUAUAAUUGUCAUAUUGUGCUCGCUUGGUGGACAAGCGUGUGACAUUGAACAAGUUUGUUCAUAUGAAGACACGUGUGUGGCUGAGAUAUGCACCUAUUACAGCUUGGUAACGUAACCCUUUCAUCACGCACGCGCGCGCGCGCGCGCGGCUCGUGUGGUGAGACGGCAGAAAAAGCGGCGCGUGGGCGAUCAUUGAGUGUCGCCCAAAGGCUCCGCUGCAUCGACACGUUGCCGUCAGACGCGAAGGAAGCUGGCUUUUGUCUUGAGUGCCCCCCACAUACACACACGCGCGCGCGCGCGCGCGUCGGCUGGCGUCUCAGCGUCAGGCGUGGCAGCAGAAGUACCACAUCACCAUCUGUUGGUUGUCACGGGCAACAGCGGCAGCGGAGCCGAGCAGCUCCUCCCUGCGUGGAGCCUGGAAGUUGAAGCUGAGAUGGAGAUUCACGUGGAAUCUGGUUCAACAGACAACACUGUUAAACUUGUUUAAGCGCUCGCUGCUUCAUUAUUCUUGCGCUGAACUUGAAGUGACCUCGUUCCCUCACGAAUCUUCUCUUUCAUCUAAUACAGAUUUCUGUAAUUCCCCUCCGUCCCGCUGCGUCCCUCAUUCAAUACAUCCACCCCUCUGUCUCCCAACUCCGUGUUGUCCCACUCCCCUCGGUGCCUCCAUGUAAUCGCCCCCCUUCCGUCAUUUAUCUCUCGGUCUCAUCGAGAACAACCCGAGGCUCUGACAGCAGGAAGGAUUCAUCAGGGUGGAGAACGGGAUACGUGAGCACGUCCACGUCCAUUAGCAGCCACCGUUCAUAUUGAAUAAGUGCUAAAAACAUUCUGAUGCGAAUCUUAUGCAAAUGAACACGAAUGAUCCAUAAAAUAAAAACAAAAAGCAAAGUAGUUCUUGGUUGUCU
rnacentral:lncRNA from 1 species